GGGUUCUGAAAAAAACAGCACAGUGUGCCCUAAUAGCUACUGUUCACCAAAAUGCAAAAACAUUUGCAUCAAUCCACGCCUUCUAAAUGCAACCUCCCAAGCCACAGCUGCUAACAUUUCCACUGCAGAAAUAAAAAACAGGGCUUGAUGCCCCCUGGGCACUAUCUGGCUACUCUCAUGCAAAUAGCCACUGUCCAUCUGCCAGCCUUUAACUUUUCUUCUUGGAGGGGAGAGGCAAGAUGAUUUCCUUAGGCUGCUCCUCCAGAUAACUCCAAGCAGCUGACAGGUCUUGAGUGAUUACUGACUAAGACCGGAAAGAAGGAGAAGGAGUUUAUGUUUCUUAAAGGAGCAUGGCCCAUCGGACGGUAAACAACAACAAAAAGCUGGCCACGGUUGCUAAGGCUGUGGCAGCAACAUGGUGUGUCUGGCAAGCGGUGGCUUUGCCGCUUAGAAAAGACGAGAAGACGUGUCCAAGAGGCUGGCAAGAUUUAAGCUUAUGUCUGAUGUCAAAGGGCCUUCUGCAAGCCAAGGAAGAUGGCAUAGAAAAGAAGAAAUAUGCACCCUAAGAGGUCUCGCUAAGAGACAAAAGAAGUCCAGCAGCCUAGCAUGUUGCUUUGGUCCUAUAGAAGGAAAGACACUUGAGUUGUAAAUAAGAAUCACAGGAAGAAGAUGAAGGUGUCUAAAAGAUCACUCAGUGGCGACACUUCAACAAACGGUAAGAAGAAGAAAAUCAUGAAGGGAAAAACAAACAAACAAAAAAGCCACAAAAAGAAAAGAG